UAUAUCCGCUGCACGCUCACUCAAAAAUGAUAACACUGCUCCCUCCACUUCAGACAGGAACAGAGACAGGCAAACAUGUACAGUAGGGGGGAUAGAGGAGGGUGUUAGCCCCUCCUUACUGCUGUAAAAGAAGAAGAAAAAAAUAGAAAAAGAAAAAAGAGCAGGAGGAAGAAAGGAAACCACAGCCAUACGGGCAGUGCUCCUCGGCUGAACUGUAUAUGCUGCCUGUUUACCAGUGGGGAGAAUACAUUAUAUGGCGGCGUGCUCCUCCCUCUCCCCAGCCAGGCAGCCUUAUCUGUCAGCCAUUAGUUAAUCAGGGCUGGUAACAUAGAAGGAGAGCAGAAAACCAGCACAGCUCGUAGGACAAAAGGACAGCUUCAUCUCUGAGAGCUGAGCUGAGCUGAGCAGAGCAGGAGGAGGGCAAGGACCUGGGGAACGACCGACCACUCCACUCUGCACUCUACUGCCAGGCUAAGCUGCUGCCUCACUCUCCUCAACACUGGAUCAGGCAUGGCAGGCUGCAAUUGCAUGAUGACCCCGCCCAUUCCAUCGCAGAGGACAGGUCCUGUUUUGCAAGGAAGUUUCAAAGACAGAAGUCAAAACAACACAUGUUGUCGACGUGGGAACAGCUGGUAAGAGCAGAGCGUCGUGGGGCGGAGGAAUGUCAGAGUCAUAGAUCUUUCAUCCUCAAGGCCAAAAUAGCCACACACAGGCCUGAUCAUCUCCCUGCACUGGAAGAAACACUAAGCAACACCUCAUACUAACACUAAUAGAGUCCAGUCCAACCCUGGCCAACGUGGUCCAAAUCUGGCAUCCACCAAUGUGGUCCAAAUCUGGCAUCCAGACAUCAGUGGCCAAAGAGAUAUCGUCAGACAAUUACUACACGAGUAAGUAGGCUGUAUUAACUGAAAUGAAUUGGUAUUAACUCGCAAAUAGGAUUUACUCACAAAACAUUUGGUACAAACCAAUGUCAUAAGUAUAUUUAGGUACCGAAGGUAAAAAAUAAGGACAUUUCUAUUUAGAGUCAUAUUGGCGUCACCAUGGAGUUCAUUAUAAGGGUAAUGAUGAUUGAAAAGGAUAUUGCAACGUCUAAAUAAUUAUUGGUCUGUGUUAACAAAGUUGACAAAAUGUCCACUACAAGAGCUUCAGGCUGCUUGUGAUGGAAAAUGAAAGCAGUCGAUUAAACUCAACUGUGUAGUUGGUGCCAAACUGUGCCUGAAAUUCUAAAGUGUCCUUUUGGCAAAUUCCAUCCAUCCAAAUUCCAUCUUCUUCUUAGUGUGAAGAAGCUCAAUUGUGGUCCUCUGUAGCUCAAUUGGUAGAGCAUGGCGCUUGUAACGCCAGGGUAGUGGGUUUGA